rnacentral:rRNA from 1 species
UGGGGAAUUUUGGACAAUGGGCGCAAGCCUGAUCCAGCCAUGCCGCGUGCAGGAUGAAGGCCUUCGGGUUGUAAACUGCUUUUGUACGGAACGAAAAGGUGCCUUCUAAUAAAGGGCGCUCAUGACGGUACCGUGAGAAUAAGCACCGGCUAACUACGUGCCAGCAGCCGCGGUAAUACGUAGGGUGCGAGCGUUAAUCGGAAUUACUGGGCGUAAAGCGUGCGCAGGCGGUUUUGUAAGACAGAGGUGAAAUCCCCGGGCUCAACCUGGGAACUGCCUUUGUGACUGCAAGGCUAGAUUGCGGCAGAGGGGGAUGGAACUCCGCGUGUAGCAGUGAAAUGCGUAGAUAAGCGGAGGAACACCGAUGGCGAAGGCAAUCCCCUGGGCCUGCACUGACGCUCAUGCACGAAAGCGUGGGGAGCAAA